rnacentral:lncRNA from 1 species
UUUUAUGGCUCCAGUAAUUUAAGAAAGCUCUGAAAAAUCAAAUCUGUCCAUGGCAGUGCUAGCAUACUGUCUAUUAGAUUAAAUGAAGCUGUAAGCAUCUUUGAAGUACAAAUGAUACUUGGAAAGUAAAUGAAACUGGGAAUACUUGCAAGUAAAAUAUGGGAAGUCAAAGAGAUUAAAGGAUGAGAACCAGAAAUUGCUUAUGGCCAGUGUCCUGAGUAAGCCUCAGAAUCGCAUCCUAGAAGCAUCAAGUUCUUGUGUUACCCUAUGGAUCUAAAAAACGACUUCCUUAGUUUGAUGUAGUCUGCAGACAUCUCAUCAUCACAAAAACUUGAAAGCACUUACAGCACUAAGAAACUACCUUUGCAGAUUGUAAAAAAAGAUAGAAUCCUACUUAGUGUUUUGAUCACACCUGCCUAUUUCCCCAAGGUUUUACUGCAGGGUUAAAGAAUGAAUAAGCAUCUAGUUAUAUUUAAUAAACUCCAUGCCUUAUGGCUGAUUCUAAAGGCACAUGGCUUUGUUACAUUCGCUUGAAGCUCUGCUUUAUUUUCUAAAAAUGGUUGCUUACAGUGGUCCCUUGCAGCCCAUGGUGAUAGUUUAUAGGGUGCUAUGUUAUUUUUGUUUACUUGAGUGGAUAUUUAUACACAUGCCUCUUUAGAUUCAGGUGUUUUCAUUUUUUUUGUCAGGAGUUUGGUAUCCAUAUGCAGAAAAAUGCUGAUGAGUCAUUGCAUUUAUCUAUUGCUUAGAGAGAUGAUGAUGGGUCAUAAACCCAGAUAUUUAAACAAACAACCAGAAUAGUUUGUUACUUUCAGGCAAGAUUCCUGAUCGUUUUGUUGUUGUUGUUGCUGUUGUUGUUUUUCCUGCAAUGAAAGAGGCAGCAGAAGGGAAUCAGAUAAAUAACCCUCUCACAUAUCGUAUUUACUUGUAAUAUUGUUAUGCCAUCAAGUAGAACAAAAAUC